rnacentral:rRNA from 1 species
UACGUAGGGCGCAAGCGUUAUCCGGAAUUAUUGGGCGUAAAGAGCUCGUAGGCGGUUUGUCGCGUCUGCUGUGAAAACCUAGGGCUUAACCUGGGCCUGCAGUGGGUACGGGCAGACUAGAGUGCGGUAGGGGAGACUGGAAUUCCUGGUGUAGCGGUGAAAUGCGCAGAUAUCAGGAGGAACACCGGUGGCGAAGGCGGGUCUCUGGGCAGUAACUGACGCUGAGGAGCGAAAGCGUGGGGGAGCGAACAGGA